GAAUUCGCCCUUAGAGUUUGAUCCUGGCUCAGGACGAACGCUGGCGGCGCGCCUAACACAUGCAAGUCGAACGAGCGAGAGAGAGCUUGCUUUCUCGAGCGAGUGGCGAACGGGUGAGUAACGCGUGAGGAACCUGCCUCAAAGAGGGGGACAACAGUUGGAAACGACUGCUAAUACCGCAUAAGCCCACGGUACCGCAUGGUACUGAGGGAAAAGGAUUUAUUCGCUUUAGGAUGGACUCGCGUCCAAUUAGCUAGUUGGUGAGGUAACGGCCCACCAAGGCGACGAUUGGUAGCCGGACUGAGAGGUUGAACGGCCACAUUGGGACUGAGACACGGCCCAGACUCCUACGGGAGGCAGCAGUGGGGGAUAUUGCACAAUGGGGGAAACCCUGAUGCAGCGACGCCGCGUGGAGGAAGAAGGUUUUCGGAUUGUAAACUCCUGUCGUUAGGGACGAUAAUGACGGUACCUAACAAGAAAGCACCGGCUAACUACGUGCCAGCAGCCGCGGUAAAACGUAGGGUGCAAGCGUUGUCCGGAAUUACUGGGUGUAAAGGGAGCGCAGGCGGGAAGACAAGUUGGAAGUGAAAACCAUGGGCUCAACCCAUGAAUUGCUUUCAAAACUGUUUUUCUUGAGUAGUGCAGAGGUAGAUGGAAUUCCCGGUGUAGCGGUGGAAUGCGUAGAUAUCGGGAGGAACACCAGUGGCGAAGGCGGUCUACUGGGCACCAACUGACGCUGAGGCUCGAAAGCAUGGGUAGCAAACAGGAUUAGAUACCCUGGUAGUCCAUGCCGUAAACGAUGA
rnacentral:rRNA from 1 species